rnacentral:misc_RNA from 1 species
UUUCCGUAGGUGAACCUGCGGAAGGAUCAUUACUGAGUGAGGGCCCCUCGGGGUCCAACCUCCCACCCGUGUUUAACGAACCUUGUUGCUUCGGCGGGCCCGCCUCACGGCCGCCGGGGGGCAUUUGCCCCCGGGCCCCGCGCCCGCCGAAGCCACCUGUGAACGCUGUCUGAAGUAUGCAGUCUGAGACAAUUAUUAAAUUAAUUAAAACUUUCAACAACGGAUCUCUUGGUUCCG